GCCAUUGAAUGCCAUUAGAAGAGGAACAGGCAUCUCCCCCCCAGAGAUCGCCAACAUUGCGACGACGGGGCAUUGGGACACUAAAACGGCUUCAUGGGACCAAGCACUCAACCGUUGAAAGUGUUACCACACCUUAAAAAUUUCAGUGUUAGUCAGAGUCCGAAUCGGAAUCUGUAGAAUUUUCCGAAAUAAACAAAGCCAAAUUACGAUUGACCGAAAACCCAAAGACUACUGGAUCCUCACCAAUAAAAUACCACAAAAAAUAAGCAAAAUUAAAUGAAGUGAAUAUAAAACUUAAAAAAUCACAUCUUUUAUGGAAAACUAAACCACCCUGGCCCCACCAUUGCCCAGGGUAGAAAAUCCUAGAGAACUUUCAUUGUGUUUUGUGCCAGGGCCAGAGCCCUAAUGAAAUUAAAGAUCUUCCAAUAAUGG